rnacentral:rRNA from 1 species
GCCCCGUACACAAAAAUGCACAUACUGUGAGCUCGAUGAGUAGGGCGGGACACGUGGUAUCCUGUCUGAAUAUGGGGGGACCAUCCUCCAAGGCUAAAUACUCCUGACUGACCGAUAGUGAACCAGUACCGUGAGGGAAAGGCGAAAAGAACCCCGGCGAGGGGAGUGAAAAAGAACCUGAAACCGUGUACGUACAAGCAGUGGGAGCACGCUUAGGCGUGUGACUGCGUACCUUUUGUAUAAUGGGUCAGCGACUUAUAUUCUGUAGCAAGGUUAACCGAAUAGGGGAGCCGAAGGGAAACCGAGUCUUAACUGGGCGUUAAGUUGCAGGGUAUAGACCCGAAACCCGGUGAUCUAGCCAUGGGCAGGUUGAAGGUUGGGUAACACUAACUGGAGGACCGAACCGACUAAUGUUGAAAAAUUAGCGGAUGACUUGUGGCUGGGGGUGAAAGGCCAAUCAAACCGGGAGAUAGCUGGUUCUCCCCGAAAGCUAUUUAGGUAGCGCCUCGUGAAUUCAUCUCCGGGGGUAGAGCACUGUUUCGGCAAGGGGGUCAUCCCGACUUACCAACCCGAUGCAAACUGCGAAUACCGGAGAAUGUUAUCACGGGAGACACACGGCGGGUGCUAACGUCCGUCGUGAAGAGGGAAACAACCCAGACCGCCAGCUAAGGUCCCAAAGUCAUGGUUAAGUGGGAAACGAUGUGGGAAGGCCCAGACAGCCAGGAUGUUGGCUUAGAAGCAGCCAUCAUUUAAAGAAAGCGUAAUAGCUCACUGGUCGAGUCGGCCUGCGCGGAAGAUGUAACGGGGCUAAACCAUGCACCGAAGCUGCGGCAGCGACGCUUAUGCGUUGUUGGGUAGGGGAGCGUUCUGUAAGCCUGUGAAGGUGUGCUGUGAGGUAUGCUGGAGGUAUCAGAAGUGCGAAUGCUGACAUAAGUAACGAUAAAGCGGGUGAAAAGCCCGCUCGCCGGAAGACCAAGGGUUCCUGUCCAACGUUAAUCGGGGCAGGGUGAGUCGACCCCUAAGGCGAGGCCGAAAGGCGUAGUCGAUGGGAAACAGGUUAAUAUUCCUGUACUUGGUGUUACUGCGAAGGGGGGACGGAGAAGGCUAUGUUGGCCGGGCGACGGUUGUCCCGGUUUAAGCGUGUAGGCUGGUUUUCCAGGCAAAUCCGGAAAAUCAAGGCCGAGGCGUGAUGACGAGGCACUACGGUGCUGAAGCAACAAAUGCCCUGCUUCCAGGAAAAGCCUCUAAGCAUCAGGUAACAUCAAAUCGUACCCCAAACCGACACAGGUGGUCAGGUAGAGAAUACCAAGGCGCUUGAGAGAACUCGGGUGAAGGAACUAGGCAAAAUGGUGCCGUAACUUCGGGAGAAGGCACGCUGAUACGUAGGUGAAGCGACUUGCUCGUGGAGCUGAAAUCAGUCGAAGAUACCAGCUGGCUGCAACUGUUUAUUAAAAACACAGCACUGUGCAAACACGAAAGUGGACGUAUACGGUGUGACGCCUGCCCGGUGCCGGAAGGUUAAUUGAUGGGGUUAGCGCAAGCGAAGCUCUUGAUCGAAGCCCCGGUAAACGGCGGCCGUAACUAUAACGGUCCUAAGGUAGCGAAAUUCCUUGUCGGGUAAGUUCCGACCUGCACGAAUGGCGUAAUGAUGGCCAGGCUGUCUCCACCCGAGACUCAGUGAAAUUGAACUCGCUGUGAAGAUGCAGUGUACCCGCGGCAAGACGGAAAGACCCCGUGAACCUUUACUAUAGCUUGACACUGAACAUUGAGCCUUGAUGUGUAGGAUAGGUGGGAGGCUUUGAAGUGUGGACGCCAGUCUGCAUGGAGCCGACCUUGAAAUACCACCCUUUAAUGUUUGAUGUUCUAACGUGGACCCGUGAUCCGGGUUGCGGACAGUGUCUGGUGGGUAGUUUGACUGGGGCGGUCUCCUCCUAAAGAGUAACGGAGGAGCACGAAGGUUGGCUAAUCCUGGUCGGACAUCAGGAGGUUAGUGCAAUGGCAUAAGCCAGCUUGACUGCGAGCGUGACGGCGCGAGCAGGUGCGAAAGCAGGUCAUAGUGAUCCGGUGGUUCUGAAUGGAAGGGCCAUCGCUCAACGGAUAAAAGGUACUCCGGGGAUAACAGGCUGAUACCGCCCAAGAGUUCAUAUCGACGGCGGUGUUUGGCACCUCGAUGUCGGCUCAUCACAUCCUGGGGCUGAAGUAGGUCCCAAGGGUAUGGCUGUUCGCCAUUUAAAGUGGUACGCGAGCUGGGUUUAGAACGUCGUGAGACAGUUCGGUCCCUAUCUGCCGUGGGCGCUGGAGAACUGAGGGGGGCUGCUCCUAGUACGAGAGGACCGGAGUGGACGCAUCACUGGUGUUCGGGUUGUCAUGCCAAUGGCACUGCCCGGUAGCUAAAUGCGGAAGAGAUAAGUGCUGAAAGCAUCUAAGCACGAAACUUGCCCCGAGAUGAGUUCUCCCUGACCCUUUAAGGGUCCUGAAGGAACGUUGAAGACGACGACGUUGAUAGGCCGGGUGUGUAAGCGCAGCGAUGCGUUGAGCUAACCGGUACUAAUGAACCGUGAGGCUUAACCUU